rnacentral:misc_RNA from 1 species
AAACUGCGAUAAGUAGUGUGAAUUGCAUUUAGUGAAUCAUCGAAUCUUUGAACGCACCUUGCACUCACUGGUAUUCCGGUGAGUACGCCUGUUUCAGUAUCAUUGAAAACACACAAUCAAAACAUUUUCUUUGGUUUGAUUGACUUUGGGUCUAUCAAAAAGUUUGGCUUGUUUCUUACAAGCCAAGCGGCCUGAAAUAUAUUGUCUGGCUAAUUGCAUCGUUGAUGAUCGCUAUUAGACUUUGGCUUUUUUAAAUGAACUGGAGGUUGAUUAACCAGUUUUAGCUUUAGUCAAAUGGUCAUUGUAAAAAAAAUCUCGAUCUUGGCUAGGUGUUUAUAGCCGAAAAUUUUUUUUUGGCUAUAACCGAAACCAAUAUAAUCACAUUUAGUUAUCGAUCUGAAAUCAGGUGGGACUACCCGCUGAACUUAAGC